CCUGGCGGCUGUAGCGCGGUGGUCCCACCUGACCCCAUGCCGAACUCAGAAGUGAAACGCCGUAGCGCCGAUGGUAGUGUAGGGUCUCCCCAUGCGAGAGUAGGGAACUGCCAGGC
rnacentral:rRNA from 1 species